ensembl:misc_RNA Metazoa_SRP Metazoan signal recognition particle RNA
GCCAGGCGUGGUGGCACGUGCCUGUAAUCCCAGCUACUCAGGAGGCUGAGGUGGGAGGAUUGCUUGGGCCCAGGAGGUGGAGGUUGCAGUGAGCUAAGAUUACGCUACUGCACUCCAGCCUGGGCGACACAGCAAGACCCUGCCUCAA